rnacentral:rRNA from 1 species
CAGCAGCCGCGGUAAUACGGAGGGUGCRAGCGUUAAUCGGAAUUACUGGGCGUAAAGCGCGCGUAGGUGGUCUGUUAAGUCGGAUGUGAAAGCCCCGGGCUCAACCUGGGAACUGCAUUCGAUACUGGCAGACUAGAGUGCGRGAGAGGGAGGUAGAAUUCCAUGUGUAGCGGUGAAAUGCGUAGAUAUGUGGAGGAAUACCAGUGGCSAAGGCGGCCUCMYGGCUSGACACUGMCAGUGACUACGGGAGGCAGCAGGAAAAAUAUUUCUG